UGGGGAAUAUUGGGCAAUGGGCGAAAGCCUGACCCAGCAACGCCGCGUGAGGGAAGAAGGUUUUCGGAUCGUAAACCUCUGUCCUUGGGGACGAAGGAAGUGACGGUACCCAAGGAGGAAGCCCCGGCUAACUACGUGCCAGCAGCCGCGGUAAUACGUAGGGGGCGAGCGUUGUCCGGAAUGAUUGGGCGUAAAGGGCGCGUAGGCGGCCUGUUAAGUCCGGAGUGAAAUUCCUGCUUUCAAGGUAGGAAGUGCUUUGGAAACUGGCGGGCUGGAGUGCAGGAGAGGUUAGCGGAAUUCCCGGUGUAGCGGUGAAAUGCGUAGAGAUCGGGAGGAACACCAGUGGCGAAGGCGGCUAACUGGACUGUAACUGUCGCUGAUGCGCGAAAGCGUGGGGAGCGAACAGG
rnacentral:rRNA from 2 species